rnacentral:lncRNA from 1 species
GCUCAUUGAGACCCAUGUUUAUGUGUCCGUUAAACUUCAGUGCCUCACUACGAGCAGUAGUACAAUCUUUGAUCAAAAGACCAUUCACACAACUUCAGCAUCGAGACAAUCACUGACGAUUGAAUAGAAAUCCAAAUGAUCUCUCGUAUGGUCAUGCUCAAUACUAGUUAUUCUCUAACAGCUACCCACACUCAUCGUCCAGUGUCUCUACACGUAGAUCAGAGACUCAUCUAUCUCGAAGGAAGUGAUCUGUGUGUCAGUCUAUCU